AGAAAAAAAAGUCUUAUAGGGCAUAUAUAUAUAUAUAUAUAUAUAUAUAAGUAGAGAAUGCCUUGUUUUCAUAAAUACUCAUCAAUUAUAUUUGUAGAUCUCGCUUCUAUCAUUCAAUUGGUGUGCAAAUGGAAAUCUUGCAGCUGAUCGGCUCGAUUAUGAAGGGAGACAAUAUUCAACCACCGAAUCAGGUCCCGCGGGCUGAUUUUGGUUCACCGAAAAGUCGCAAUAUCAGGAGACUCGACCAACCGGCAGGGAAUAAGGGAAACAACAAACAAGGCUAUCCCAAACCAAAAAAGUUCCCCUUCUCCAAAUAAACAAUAUUUGUAUAUUAAGGAUAAAUUUCAUUUUGACCCUUUCAAUUUUAUCAUA